UACGGAGGGUGCGAGCGUUGUCCGGAUUUAUUGGGUUUAAAGGGUGCGCAGGUGGCCCGGCCAGUCAGUGGUGAAAUGCGGCCGCUCAACGGUCGAACUGCCAUUGAUACUACCGGGCUUGAGACAAGUGGAGGCUGCCGGAACGGACGGUGUAGCGGUGAAAUGCAUAGAUAUCGUCCAGAACGCCGAUUGCGAAGGCAGGUGGCUACGCUUGUUCUGACACUGAGGCACGAAAGCGUGGGGAGCGAACAGG
rnacentral:rRNA from 1 species